rnacentral:rRNA from 1 species
AGAGUUUGAUCCUGGCUCAGGAUGAACGCUGGCGGCGUGCUUAACACAUGCAAGUCGAACGGUGAAGCCCAGCUUGCUGGGUGGAUCAGUGGCGAACGGGUGAGUAACACGUGAGCAAUCUGCCCCUGACUCUGGGAUAAGCGCUGGAAACGGCGUCUAAUACUGGAUAUGAACCGUGGAGGCAUCUUCAACGGUUGGAAAGAUUUUUUGGUCAGGGAUGAGCUCGCGGCCUAUCAGCUUGUUGGUGAGGUAAUGGCUCACCAAGGCGUCGACGGGUAGCCGGCCUGAGAGGGUGACCGGCCACACUGGGACUGAGACACGGCCCAGACUCCUACGGGAGGCAGCAGUGGGGAAUAUUGCACAAUGGGCGCAAGCCUGAUGCAGCAACGCCGCGUGAGGGAUGACGGCCUUCGGGUUGUAAACCUCUUUUAGCAGGGAAGAAGCGAAAGUGACGGUACCUGCAGAAAAAGCGCCGGCUAACUACGUGCCAGCAGCCGCGGUAAUACGUAGGGCGCAAGCGUUAUCCGGAAUUAUUGGGCGUAAAGAGCUCGUAGGCGGUUUGUCGCGUCUGCUGUGAAAUCCCGAGGCUCAACCUCGGGUCUGCAGUGGGUACGGGCAGACUAGAGUGCGGUAGGGGAGAUUGGAAUUCCUGGUGUAGCGGUGGAAUGCGCAGAUAUCAGGAGGAACACCGAUGGGCGAAGGCAGAUCUCUGGGCCGUAACUGACGCUGAGGAGCGAAAGGGUGGGGAGCAAACAGGGCUUAGAUACCCCGGUAGUCCACCCCGUAAACGUUGGGAACUAUUUGUGGGGUCCAUUCCAGGGAUUCCGUGACGCAGCUAACGCUUAAGUUCCCCGCCGGGGGAGUACGGGCCGCCAGGUUAAAACUCAAAUGAAUUGACGG